rnacentral:snoRNA from 1 species
AUUCGGGCUGAUAACUAGGCGGCGGUUUCGAAUCUUAACCCACUCUACAACGUCUGCCCUUUAAGUGCCCGAUAUAUUGAAGAUUGUUUCAUUGAAACAUGUGAAGAUCUUACAAGUUUCCAAAACUCUUUUUUUUCUUCGUGUUUGGCAGCUUUUAAAUCUUCGCUACAUCC